UACGGGGGGGGCAAGCGUUGUUCGGAAUUACUGGGCGUAAAGGGUUCGUAGGCGGCCAACUAAGUCAGACGUGAAAUCCCUCAGCUUAACUGGGGAACUGCGUCUGAUACUGGUUGGCUUGAGUGCAGGAGAGGAACGCGGAAUUCCAGGUGUAGCGGUGAAAUGCGUAGAUAUCCGGAGAAACACCAGCGGCGAAGGCGGCGUCCUGGACUGGUACUGACGCUGAGGCGCGAAAGCCAGGGGAGCAAACGGG
rnacentral:rRNA from 1 species